CGCAACCCUCAUUGCAUGUUAAUUUUUCUAUGCGAGACUGCCCUGGUUAACAGGGAGGAAGGUGGGGAUGACGUCAAGUCAGCAUGGCCCUUACACCUUGGGCUACACACGUGUUACAAUGGCCGGUACAAUAAGUCGCAAUACCGCAAGGUGGAGCUAAUCUAUGAAAACCGGUCCCAGUUCGGAUUGGGGGCUGAAACUCGCCCCCAUGAAGUUGGAAUCGCUAGUAACCGUGAAUCAGCACGUCACGGUGAAUACGUUCCCGGGUCUU
rnacentral:rRNA from 1 species